AUCAAUGGUGGCGCUGGCAGGGCAGCUUUCGGGCUGGCCGGUCUCCUUGUACGCCGGUAUUUCCACCCCUGUCAGCGUCACCACCAAU
rnacentral:antisense_RNA from 1 species